rnacentral:tRNA from 1 species
GCGCCUAUAGUGUAGCGGUAACACGGGAGCUUCCCAAGCUCCAAUCAUGGGUUCGAUCCCCAUUAGGCGCUC